rnacentral:rRNA from 1 species
AUAUCGCGAGCCUACGGGAGGCAGCAGUGGGGAAUAUUGCACAAUGGAGGAAACUCUGAUGCAGCAAUGCCGCGUGUGUGAAGAAGGCCCUAGGGUUGUAAAGCACUUUCAAUAGGGAGGAAAAGCAAGUAGUUAAUAGCUGCUUGCCGUGACGUUACCUUCAGAAGAAGCACCGGCUAACUCUGUGCCAGCAGCCGCGGUAAUACAGAGGGUGCAAGCGUUAAUCGGAAUUACUGGGCGUAAAGCGCGCGUAGGUGGUUUGUUAAGUCGGAUGUGAAUGCCCAGGGCUCAACCUUGGAAUUGCACCCGAUACUGGCAGGCUAGAGUACGAUAGAGGAGUGUGGAAUUUCCUGUGUAGCGGUGAAAUGCGUAGAUAUAGGAAGGAACAUCAGUGGCGAAGGCGACACUCUGGAUUGAUACUGACACUGAGGUGCGAAAGCGUGGGGAGCAAACAGGAUUAGAUACCCUCGUAGUCCA